AAAAGCACCUCGGAGGGAAGAUACCAUGAUCACGAAGAUGGCUUUCCCAGGGUGAGGCUCAUCCACUUCCCUUUGGGUGUCCUUCAGACCCCUGCGAUUUCCCCAAAUGCAGGGAAACUUGACUGCAUAAUUUGUGGGAGUGUGAGGACUGCAUUAAUAAUGCAGACUUUUG